UAUUCCCUCCUAUUAGUAAUAAGAAACUUUUUUUAAAAAAAAAACCCUACUCCUGCUUAAGUCUAGAGUUAUUUGCAUAUCGCCUCAGGCCCUCAACACAUCGCUCAAGCAAAGAAAUUCAUGAUAGCCAUCUCCAUCUACAGGUUUUACUGGAUUCAUCUCAUCCUACAAAUAUUUUGAUUCCCAGACAUGGGUAUUCAGGGUCAUCAACAGGAGCGUCGUUGAU